GGAAGAUGAUUGUGCUGAAACUAUCGAGUUUGCAUUGGUUUGAUAGUGAUCAACCAUCGGUUUGGAUGGACUACUACUAGAUUAAGUGUAGUCUAAUAACUAAAAAUUUGAAUUUAAUAGAGUGCCAAGAUGGCCAAGAACAGUAGUUAUAAAGAUAUUGAAUUUCAACACAGGGUACUUCGUUUGCCUAGGAAAUACUACUCAGGUCAAGUAAUUCCCAAAUGAUUGGAUAUUGAUCAUUUAUUGAUCAACAUUUGAAAUUAUACUUUAAUGGGAUCAUCCUAUCAGCAUUGGCAAUCAGGCAACCUACCUAGGGA
rnacentral:misc_RNA from 1 species